rnacentral:rRNA from 1 species
UGGGGAAUUUUGCACAAUGGGGGAAACCCUGAUGCAGCGACGCCGCGUGAUUUAGAAGGCCUUCGGGUUGUAAAAAUUUUUUCUAUGGGAAGAAAAUGACAGUACCAUAGGAAUAAGGACCGGCUAAUUACGUGCCAGCAGCCGCGGUAAUACGUAAGGUCCGAGCGUUGUCCGGAAUCAUUGGGCGUAAAGGGUACGUAGGCGGGUAAGCAAGUUAGAAGUGAAAUCCUAUAGCUCAACUAUAGUAAGCUUUUAAAACUGCUCAUCUUGAGGUAUGGAAGUGAAAGUGGAAUUCCUAGUGUAGCGGUGAAAUGCGCAGAUAUUAGGAGGAAUACCGGUGGCGAAGGCGACUUUCUGGCCAUAACCUGACGCUGAGGUACGAAAGCGUGGGUAGCAAACAGG